GUUUAUCCGGCCUGGGUGGAAAAAUCACCCUGGCUAGUCUCCAUGAUUUGGGAACACAGCCAUUAUCCAGACAUGCCUGAUAUAUCUUAUAGUACUGAUUAGCAUAUCCAAGCCCUUCUGUAGAAGAGCAGGGAAAAUCCAAUCAAUGCCACUAAUUUUGUAUGAGCCAA